rnacentral:rRNA from 1 species
UAGAGUUUGAUCCUGGCUCAGGACGAACGCUGGCGGCGUGCCUAACACAUGCAAGUCGAGCGAAGUAUAUUUAAGUGAAGUUUUCGGAUGGAACUUAAAUAUAUCUUAGCGGCGGACGGGUGAGUAACGCGUGAGCAACCUGCCUUUCACAAAGGGAUAGCCUCGGGAAACUGGGAUUAAUACCAUAUGAAACUUAACUUUCGCAUGAAAGAUAAGUCAAAGCGAAUAAGCGGUGAAAGAUGGGCUCGCGUCCUAUUAGCUAGUUGGUGAGGUAACGGCUCACCAAGGCGACGAUAGGUAGCCGGCCUGAGAGGGUGAACGGCCACACUGGAACUGAGACACGGUCCAGACUCCUACGGGAGGCAGCAGUGGGGGAUAUUGCACAAUGGAGGAAACUCUGAUGCAGCGACGCCGCGUGAGUGAAGAAGGCCUUCGGGUCGUAAAGCUCUGUCCUAGGGGAAGAUAAUGACGGUACCCUAGGAGGAAGCCCCGGCUAACUACGUGCCAGCCGCCGCGGUAAUUCA